GGAAACACAGUGAAAAAGAGAGUACGCAUACCAGAAUGGCAAAGAGAAUCCCGGCGGGUGGGAAGGGACGCAGGAGGGUAUGCGGAAGAUGGCUUUGGAGUGGCAUUGGUGAACUGUCUUAAAUGGGCAGCUAGGCAAUGACAGGACCGCCUGUUACAGCGGGAAGUAUAGAGGGGCGCUAAGGUUAUCUGAAAACGUUAGUUACGCCAUAUGGAAGGGAGUUUCAAGCGCGUUCUGGGCAGUUCCCAAAAUACUUGCAAAGGCCUGUGCUGUGAAGGGCAGGCAAAGAGAAGUGGUACCGCGGGACAGUCCGCCUUCUAU
rnacentral:ncRNA from 1 species